rnacentral:lncRNA from 1 species
GAGAAUUAAAAAAGUCAGGCGUCCACCUGGAGAAUGAGGAUGAGAAAAGAAGAAGUCAGGCGUCCACCUGGAGAAUGAGGAUGAGAAUUAAAGAAGUCAGGCGUCCACCUGGAGGAUGAGGAUGAAGAAAUUAAAGAAGUCAGGUGUCCACCUGGAGAAUGAGGAUGAGAAUUAAAGAAGUCAGGCGUCCACUUGGAGAAUGAGGAUGAGAAAAGAAGAAGUCAGGCGUCCACCUGGAGAAUGAGGAUGAGAAUUAAAGAAGUCAGGCGUCCACCUGGAGAAUGAGGAUGAAGAAAUUAAAGAAGUCAGGCGUCCACCUGGAGAAUGAGGAUGAGAAUUAAAGAAGUCAGGCGUCCACCUGGAGAAUGAGGAUGAGAAAAGAAGAAGUCAGGCGUCCACCUGGAGAAUGAGGAUGAGAAAAGAAAAAGUCAGGCGUCCACCUGGAGAAUGAGGAUGAAGAAAUUAAAG